CCUGACUGAGCAGAGGCAUUCUCCUCAUCUCAUCACUGGUCUAUUAUGUAUAUCCAGUGAGCAUUGAUACAUCACUUCCACAAAUUACUUCAAAGGACAGUCCAAGCAGUAGCAAAAUAAACCUCUUAGCUUU